rnacentral:lncRNA from 1 species
GGCCUCCUCCCGACCCUGCGCCGUGCCCAGCCCCUCUGCCCUCCUGUUACCCCGGGACCUCGGGCCGCCAGCCCCUUCCACGUGCAGGCUCCUGCUGCUCUCGCGGGGGCUUUUCGUGUGUCCCCCGAGAUGUCGAGGAAGCCAGGAAACAAGGAGUGGACGUUCAGGCUGAUGGCCAGCUUCAAAGAUCGGGGCCUUUGAUUCCCAUCACUGGGAAGAAAGCCCUUCAGACAAGCCCCCCCAGGCUGCAGGUGCAUGGGGACCUUGAAGAACCCGUCCCCAUGGUCCCACGUCCAUGUGUCUCGAGACCUGUCGCAUCCUCGCUGAAACUCAAGAAUGUGAAACAGAGUCCAGCUCUCCCACGGGUGGCUGUGAUCCUUCUUCCUGGGGAGUCCUGCUGUCCCUGACUAGGGGCACCUGCCCACCUGUCAGCUGCUCCUCCCUCGGCUGGUCCUCCUGGGCUCUGAUGGCCCCAACAUUUCUAGCUCUUCUCACCCAUAGUGCCCCAAGCUUCAUGCAGCUGCGGCAGGACACCAUGUUCCUCCCCUCUGGAGGAUGCUGUAACAAGCUGUCAUCUCGGGAGGAGACACCAGGCCCUGACCAGACGCUGAACAUGCCAGCACCUUCAUCUUGGACUUUCCAGCCCCCAGAACUGUGAGAAAUAAAUUUCUGUUCUUUAUAA